UACAGAGGUCUCAAGCGUUUGUUCGGAAUUAUUGGGCGUAAAGGGUGCGUAGGCGGUUUGGUAAGUCUGAUGUGAAAUCUAUGGGCUCAACUCAUAGUCUGCAUCGGAAACUGCCGGGCUUGAGUGUGGGGAGAGGUGAGUGGAAUUCCUGGUGUAGCGGUGAAAUGCGUAGAUAUCAGGAGGAACACCUGUGGCGAAAGCGGCUCACUGGACCAUAACUGACGCUGAUGCACGAAAAGCUAGGGGGAGCAAAACAGGG
rnacentral:rRNA from 1 species